UAGGGAAUCUUCCGCAAUGGACGAAAGUCUGACGGAGCAACGCCGCGUGAGUGAAGAAGGAUUUCGGUUCGUAAAACUCUGUUGUUAGGGAAGAAAAAAUGUAUAGUAACUAUAUACAAAAGAGACGGUACCUAACCAGAAAGCCACGGCUAACUACGUGCCAGCAGCCGCGGUAAUACGUAGGUGGCAAGCGUUGUCCGGAAUUAUUGGGUUUAAAGGGUGCGCAGGUGGCUAAUCAGGUCAGUGGUGAAAAGCUAUGGCUCAACCAUGGUCUUGCCAUUGAAACCGUAUAGCUAGAGAGGAGACGAGGUAGGCGGAAUGUGUGGUGUAGCGGUGAAAUGCAUAGAUAUCACACAGAACUCCGAUUGCGAAGGCAGCUUACCAGGCUUUAUCUGACACUUAGGCACGACAGCGUGGGGAUCAAACAGG
rnacentral:rRNA from 1 species